rnacentral:rRNA from 1 species
AGUCGACGAAACUUCUUUAUCACCGAGUACUUGCACUCACCGAUAAAGAGUUGAGUGGCGAACGGGUGAGUAACACGUGGGCAACCUGCCCAAAAGAGGGGGAUAACACUUGGAAACAGGUGCUAAUACCGCAUAACCAUAGUUACCGCAUGGUAACUAUGUAAAAGGUGGCUAUGCUACCGCUUUUGGAUGGGCCCGCGGCGCAUUAGCUAGUUGGUGGGGUAAAGGCUUACCAAGGCAAUGAUGCGUAGCCGAACUGAGAGGUUGAUCGGCCACAUUGGGACUGAGACACGGCCCAAACUCCUACGGGAGGCAGCAGUAGGGAAUCUUCCACAAUGGGCGAAAGCCUGAUGGAGCAACGCCGCGUGGGUGAAGAAGGUCUUCGGAUCGUAAAACCCUGUUGUUAGAGAAGAAAGUGCGUGAGAGUAACUGUUCACGUUUCGACGGUAUCUAACCAGAAAGCCACGGCUAACUACGUGCCAGCAGCCGCGGUAAUACGUAGGUGGCAAGCGUUAUCCGGAUUUAUUGGGCGUAAAGGGAACGCAGGCGGUCUUUUAAGUCUGAUGUGAAAGCCUUCGGCUUAACCGGAGUAGUGCAUUGGAAACUGGGAGACUUGAGUGCAGAAGAGGAGAGUGGAACUCCAUGUGUAGCGGUGAAAUGCGCAGAUAUAUGGAAGAACACCAGUGGCGAAAGCGGCUCUCUGGUCUGUAACUGACGCUGAGGUUCGAAAGCGUGGGUAGCAAACAGGAUUAGAUACCCUGGUAGUCCACGCCGUAAACGAUGAAUGCUAAGUGUUGGAGGGUUUCCGCCCUUCAGUGCUGCAGCUAA